CGGCUGACGAGCUCCACCUGCCCGGGUUUGUUGUUCGGAGUUUGCUCUCCUAGGAAGAUUGCCUACCACGGCUGACGACCUCCACCUGCCCGGGUUUGUUGUUCGGAGUUUGCUCUCCUAGGUGAAUUGCCUACCACGGCUAACGACCUCCACCUGCCCGGGUUUGUUGUUCGGAGUUUGCUCUCCUAGGUGAAUUGCCUCCCACGGCUAACGACCUCCACCUGCCCGGGUUUGUUUAGAGUUUGCUCUCCUAGGUGAAUUGCCUCCCACGGCUAACGACCUCCACCUGCCCGGGUUUAUUGUUCGGAGUUUGCUCUCCUAGGUGAAUUGCCUCCCACGGCUAACGACCUCCACCUGCCCGGGUUUAUUGUUCGGAGUUUGCUCUCCUAGGUGAAUUGCCUCCCACGGCUAACGACCUCCACCUGCCCGGGUUUGUAUAGAGUUUGCUCUCCUAGGUGAAUUGCCUACCACGGCUAACGACCUCCACCUGCCCGGGUUUAUUGUUCGGAGUUUGCUCUCCUAGGUGAAUUGCCUACCACGGCUAACGACCUCCACCUGCCCGGGUUUGUAUAGAGUUUGCUCUCCUAGGUGAAUUGCCUACCACGGCUAACGACCUCCACCUGCCCGGGUUUGUAUAGAGUUUGCUCUCCUAGGUGAAUUGCCUACCACGGCUAACGACCUCCACCUGCCCGGGUUUAUUGUUCGGAGUUUGCUCUCCUAGGUGAAUUGCCUCCCACGGCUAACGACCUCCACCUGCCCGGGUUUGUAUAGAGUUUGCUCUCCUAGGUGAAUUGCCUACCACGGCUAACGACCUCCACCUGCCCGGGUUUGUAUAGAGUUUGCUCUCCUAGGUGAAUUGCCUACCACGGCUAACGACCUCCACCUGCCCGGGUUUGUAUAGAGUUUGCUCUCCUAGGUGAAUUGCCUACCACGGCUAACGAGCCUCACCUGCCCGGGUUUGUAUAGAGUUUGCUCUCCUAGGCAGAUUGCCUACCACGGCUAACGACCUCCACCUGCCCGGGUUUGUAGCCGGAAGAUCUCCGGCACCUCCAUCGGGGCCCCGAGGGACGCCGAGGAGCCCUGCCUGGAGCCCUGCAUUCCUGGCAUGCUCGCCAGGGAGACCUUGGGCUCGCUGGCGCUCCACACCCCCGCCGAGGCGAGGAUGCAAGAACUCGCUUCUUAAAACUACCAGACUGGAUUAUAAAAUUAAUCAUAAUUACUGUGAAGGCGCCGGUCACCGCGUUUAUCGGUUCAGGGAUGGAAGACCGACGGGCCUGGGAAACGCGCACAAGCAUCCAAAGGAAUCCUCGCGACGGCUUGCGACGCAGCAUCCGUUUCCCUUUUCUUUCUCAUUCCAAUUUUUCUUUUUUAUUAUAUUUUCCUUCUCUGA